rnacentral:rRNA from 1 species
GUAGGUGGCAAGCGUUGUCCAGAAUUAUUGGGCGUAAAGCGCGCGCAGGCGGUCCUCUAAGUCUGAUGUGAAAGCCCACGGGCUCAACCGUGAGGGUCAUUGGAAACUGGGGGACUUGAGUACAGAAGAGGAAAGCGGAAUUCCAAGUGUAGCGGUGAAAUGCGUAGAGAUUUGGAGGAACACCAGUGGCGAAGGCGGCUUUCUGGUCUGUAACUGACGCUGAGGCGCGAAAGCGUGGGGAGCAAACAGGAUUAGAUACCCUGGUAGUCCACGCCGUAAACGAUGAGUGCUAAGUGUUAGGGGGUUUCCGCCCCUUAGUGCUGCAGCUAACGCAUUAAGCACUCCGCCUGGGGAGUACGGCCGCAAAGGCUG